ACCUAAACUUAAACAAAACAGAAAUUUUAGUUUAAUAAAAAUAGAACAAAAACAGAUCUGCAGAGAUCUAAACUAAGAACACAAACAUAACAUAAUUUUAAGAAUAGAAAUUGAGAAACUAAGAACUAAAAUCUCUAUACCUGUUUGCGUUUCAGUCAGAUGGAGAGGAAACGAGAGAGAGCUUCAAUUCGUGAUGAAAGAGAGCUUCAAUUCAUGUAAUUUGCAUUUUGGUGAGUUUAGGGUUCGUGAGGCUUGAUUCAGUACUGAAAGGGAACGUGAGGGUUUGAGUGAGAGUGAUGAGCGUGAGAGUGAGAGGAAUAUGAGCGAGUUCGAGUUCAAGAGUGAUGGAGGCUAGGGUUCGUGAUAUUGAGUGAGAGGCUACGUAUGAGUGAGAGUGAGAAAGUGAAGACAGCUAUUCAAUCCCUUGAAAAAUUAUUUUAGACAAUUUUCACCAUAAUUACAAGAUUGCCCCCGCG
rnacentral:lncRNA from 1 species